UACGUAGGGCGCAAGCGUUAUCCGGAAUUAUUGGGCGUAAAGAGCUCGUAGGUGGUUUGUCGCGUUGUUCGUGAAAACUCACAGCUUAACUGUGGGCGUGCGGGCGAUACGGGCAGACUAGAGUACUGCAGGGGAGACUGGAAUUCCUGGUGUAGCGGUGGAAUGCGCAGAUAUCAGGAGGAACACCGGUGGCGAAGGCGGGUCUCUGGGCAGUAACUGACGCUGGAGGAGCGAAAGCCGUGGGGAGCGAACAGG
rnacentral:rRNA from 1 species